UUGGGCAAUGAUUGGACUCCGGAAAAGCUGAAGAAGAUGAUGAGGUCUAGCCCUGAUGAGC
rnacentral:snoRNA from 1 species